UGCACUAGCACUGCAGCAAAUUCACAGGCACAGUCAGGUAGACAAGCAGCACAGUGACGCAGUGUCCCAGAUGAGCCACGCUGAGCCGACGCCGAGAUGAGGGGUCUUGUCUGGUCACGGCUGAAGGAAGGGCUUUAUAUGUCGAUUGGCGUAUUCCUUUUCCUCUUGGGCCUGUGUGCAGUCCCAGGCAUGACUCAUGUUUCACUCUCAAAUCGAUAAGGCAACUGCAGAACCAAGACUCCCUUCUUCUAGGUUGCCCCGUUCCUUCACUGAUUCCUUGUUCCAUUAAAUGGAGUUGAUGCCUCCAAGAGGACUCCAUAUUGGAUCUGUGUUCGGGGACGAAGAGUGACAUGGGGAGCAAUUACCUGGGGAGGGCUUUGAAGAACCUGCUCUGUCAGCUAAAAGCCCAAUAAAUCAGAGUCAGAGUCAGACGACAGGAACAACAGAACUGACAGAAGAGAGGGAGAUGAUGGUUUGAUGGGAGCACAUUUGUAGCAAUGUAGCACUCGUUUAUAAGGAAUGCAGUCUGGCAGAACCCUGCAUGGGUGCAGGUUUCACACUUUUGCACCAAUUAAUUUUAAUCGGUCAAGGAUGAUUUGACACCCACUAACCCCACUUUUUAAGCUUGCCUUGGUGCCCACUAACCCAGCUGUUAUAGGAUGCUUUGAUAGCCACUAACUCUACUGUUUAAGUUGACUUUGAUAACCACUAACCCUACUGUUAUAGGAUGCUUUGAUACCCACUAACUCCAAUGUUUUAGUUUGGUUUAACAGCCACUAACCUUACAUUUAUAUGCUCUGAUACCCAAUAACCUUGCUCUUUAAGGUUAUUGGCUACGCCCAGGGUAUUGCCAUACCUGGGUUAAGCUGUAACGCUCAAGUCCACAGAAAAACAGUGGCAGCACCAACACUGAAGGCUGAUUUUGAUAGCCUAAUCCCUCAGACGGAGGGACCCGGACCAGCCUUCUAGGGAGGCUGCAGGGAUCACGGGACGUGGGCGUAGAUGCUAAGUGAAUGGAAAACUACUGGAGAACCGACCUCACCUCCCUGACACAUUCUCAUCCUUUCCUACCUCGAGAUAUGUGCCGCUAUAACAUUCAACCAAAAUAAUUCUGAGGCCUAAUGCUUCUUAUGAUAUUGUUUGAGUCUUGCUGUGGGCCUCAUGUGUGCUGUGCCUUUUCCAUCUCAAUCACACAUUAAGAGAGCUGACAGAAUGACAAAUGGUUUCUAUGCACACUGUUGGUGGUCAUGGUGAUGCAAUACCAUAUUUACAUUUAACGCCAAUGGCAGGGAUCUCAUUGUUUGCUUUAGCCACGCUUACACAGAGAAGGCCGGAUGUUAAAUGCUGUUUUAUUUUUAUUUGCAGUGGUAUUGCUGGUAACUUCUCUUUUAUCUUUUGCCGCAAUGCAAAUUAAAGGAUUGCAACCUU